UCUGUGAGGUUAUCUGAUAUUGUUAAAGAAACCAAGUUAUUUUUUUCAUGUGCAUACAAUAUAUUAUGUGUAUGUAUAUAUGUAUGUAUGUAUGUAAUUACUUGUUACAACAACUACACAGUUUUCAUUUUUCACAAAAUAUAUUAUAGUACGAUAUAAAUAUAUUACGUUAAAAAAUAAUUUAUAAAUUUAAUAAUGUUAUCUAGCAAGUAAAUCCGUAAUAUUUUCAUGCGCGAAAAAAUUCGUAUAUUAAACAUCUAUAUAUCGUAAAACAUACGUUAUAUCAUCUAAUAAUGAGCAUAUAAUAAAUAAUGAUACUGAGAUUGCAAAAGAUAA
rnacentral:lncRNA from 1 species